UUUUCUCGUCCCCGUCCGGCCCGAGUGGGGGGAAGUUGCCGAAACUUGCCUAGGCUCCUCACUCCCUUUCCCCUCCCCACACCGGAGCCAUGUCGCGAUCCAUGGCUCCGGCCGCCGCCGGCACCACCAUGUCCGUCCUGGGCGUCGACCUCCUGCAGGAGAUCUUCAUCCACCUCCCGGACCCCGGCGACCUCCUCCGCUCCGCGGCCGCCUGCAAGCCCUUCCUCCGCGCCGUCCGCAGCGCCCGCUUCCUCCGCCGCUUCCGCCGCCGCCACAGUUCCACCUUCCCGCCCCUCCUCGGCUGCAUCCUCCUCCGCCGCAGCCACAACCGCGGCAGCCUGGAGAACCACCCCGUCUACCUCCUCACCCUCUCCGCCGCCGCGCGCCGCGUCGUCGAGGGCGGCGACUUCGCCCUCUCCUUCCUCCCCCACCGCAAGUUGCGGUGCGGCGCCCCGUGGAACGUCCUAGACUGCCGCAACGGCCGCCUCAUGUUGUGUAGCCCGGUGUCCAGGGAGCUCGUCGUGGCCGACCCGCUGACCCGCCACUGGGUCUCCCUCCCGGUGCUCCCUGCUCUGCGCCCUAUAGGGUAUGGCCUAGUCACCGAUUACGGCGAGUAUUCGGUGUUCCAGGCGGUUUGCAUUUCUCGAAGCGGCACCUCCCCCGGGUUGCGCGCUUUUCUCCUGUCCUCCGGCGAGCUCCAGUGGGCCGAAGUCGCAGGCCUGGCUAACCAGUUCGAUUUUGCUGACUCCCGGGCGAUGCAGGCCAACAGGUCGCUGUACUGGACGCUCCAGGGCAGGGACCGUAUGUUGGCCUUCAACACGACGACGAUGGAGUUCUCCGUCCUGGAGCUCCCACUUUUCUUGCGGGAGUACAGGUUCGAUGUCAUUGAGAAGGGCGAGGACGACACCAGUGGGCUCUAUAUAGUCACUAUGCGUGACUUCUGCAUUGAGAUUUGGGCUGGUGUGGAGGACGACAACGGUGGGCUGGUGUGGACGAUGGUAGAGAAGUCUGUGAGGUUCCGCAGGGUUUUAAAAGCGAACGAGCAGGAUGUCAUCGGGGUGGUCGCCGGUGUUCUGUUCUUGCAAGAUGGGGAUGGCCUGGUCUCCAUUGAUCUGAACACUAUGAUGCUGAGGAGGUUUCCUCCGAGGGACAAUUGCCCAUUGUCACUGAUAUAUCCUUACACAAUGGCGUGGCCACCUUUGUGUUUGAACCCUACUGAAGAAGUUGCUUGAUAAGGUUUGAACUUUGAAUGCCCUCAAUUUGCUGCAGGAAUGGGAUGCUGCACUUCAGCUUGUGAUGUUAAUUUGCUUGGAAAAUAAUGCACAGUGAAGAAACUGGAGACUGAAGAGCUAACUUGGCAACAAAGCAGAGGUAGCAGUUCUGGAGUUGAUUCUUCAGUUGAUGUGGGUGGAAUGCUUUCUUGCUGAACGCACUGAUUGGUCGACUACGUUGGUGAGUGUGACGCCUGGUGUUCACCUCAUCCGGUCCAGUUUUUUGUAUAAACUUCUGCUGGUCUUAAACGUUCAGCAUAUAUAGUUGAAUGCUUGAUUUGGCAAAGAGUAGCUAGUAGCCACCUGUUCUGUUUAACAAGCAAAGCAUGUAACUAGCAACGCUGCACGUGCAAUGCAUGCUUUGUACAAUACAUAUCGCAUAUGCAACCAAUAGAAAUGGAUAGGGUGAACAGCUGAUCACGCACCAUUUUGUGCACAACCUGUUCAUGGUACUCA